UACGUAGGGGGCAAGCGUUGUCCGGAAUCAUUGGGCGUAAAGCGCGUGUAGGCGGCCCGAUAAGUCCGCUGUGAAAGUCGAGGGCUCAACCCUCGAAUGCCGGUGGAUACUGUCGGGCUUGAGUACAGGAGAGGCGAGUGGAAUUCCUGGUGUAGCGGUGAAAUGCGCAGAUAUCAGGAGGAACACCGAUUGCGAAGGCAGCUCGCUGGAACGUUACUGACGCUGAGACGCGAAAGCGUGGGGAGCAAACAGG
rnacentral:rRNA from 1 species